GAUGAAGAACGUAGCGAAAUGCGAUAAGUAAUGUGAAUUGCAGAAUUCAGUGAAUCAUCGAAUCUUUGAACGCACAUUGCGCCGGCCAGUAUUCUGGCGGGCAUGCCUGUUCGAGCGUCAUUUCAACCAUCAAGCCCCCGGCUUGUGUUGGGGACCUGCGGCUGCCGCAGGCCCUGAAAUGCAGUGGCGGGCUCGCUGUCACUCCGAGCGUAGUAGUUACAUCUCGCUCUGGGCGUGCUGCGGGUUCCGGCCGUUAAAAGCCUUAUUUACCCAAGGUUGACCUCGGAUCAGGUAGGAAGACCCGCUGAACUUAAGCAUAUCAAUAAGCGGAGGA
rnacentral:misc_RNA from 1 species